GAGACAGUAAUAAUUUUGGACCAAAGAAAUAUGGAAUACAGUAGCAUUUUGGGUUACCCUCAACAAUCUGUCGUGUCCAACCAGGGAUACUUGAUAUUUUCUUAUUAAGAUCAACCUUGAAAUUACCUUAAACUUUAGACAUGAGCAGGCCCAGCAGGUUUUUGCUUCACAGGGUGUGCUAAAUUCUGUAUGGUUCUGUUUAUCCAGACUGAUUUGAUUGUCAAAAUCCUCACUCAGAGACAAUUUACACCCUUGCUGGUGUCUCCUGAGAUGUUGUUGCUUACCUUGGGUAUUUUUCUGAAGUGAUACUGCUCAUUUCUUGGGACCACUGGCUUCAGUUCACCUCAUCCAAUUCUCAAAAAGAAUAAAAAUAUUUACUGUAUAAUAAAACACAGUGUAAUAAUACUUCAUGAGAUUUUGUACAGACCUGUGUUUUCACCCUAAAAACCUUGUUUUCAGAAAUCUUGAACAGCCUUUUCAGUAACAAAGUGGAAUAUAUGGAAUAUAUUUAGGCCCUUUAGGGAGUUGCUGUAGAAGCUCCACAAUAAGUGAAGAGAGAGAACCUGUAGGAGCAGUUUUACUUCUUCCUUCACCCCAAAUUUGUCUCCUUGAGGGGUGCAGGGCACAUUGAAAUUUGCAGUAUCUUAUUUCAUGAUAUCAUGGGAUACCUUUUUAUUGAUCUCUCUGGGAAAGCCUGCAGUGUCUAGGACAGGUCUUAUCAGAUGGGAACAAUCUCUUGCCUCAGCUGCAAGAUUUUGCCUUUUUAAUCUCUCCUAGUGGGUCCAUGAGAGCUCAAAUAGAUGUGGGAGGUGGGGAGUCUGUCAACCAUCCACAGCUGUUAAUGUUCCUUGUGUUAUACAAGGCACAUGUUUGGACUGGGUAAAAUGACAUGGUUUCUUUUUAUUUUCAUUUCCCCCACACACCUCUUAUUUGGUCCUCAGAUUCAGAAGUGUUUGACAAGAGCCUGUGAGUCAGCAGCUUUGCUAGAACACCUGCUGUCAGCAGGAGAUGCUCCUGGAAGCAAACCUGAAGGAGGAGAAAUGCUGCAUCAGGAGCACUUAACUUCAGGAGAGGAUUUCUUCACUGAGCAGACACUGAGUUUGAAGGACUGUGCCCUGUCUUCCUUGUUGUGCACAUCUUGAGGUUCUAGUGGUGAGCAAGGACGUGCAAAACCAGAGCAUCCUCUGCACAGGGAGCUUGAAGGAGCGUGGCAGCUGCUCACAGAAGAAAACUGCCCCUGCAAGGUGCCAAGAAGUGUUUCUAUUUUAGCUUUUCUUAGUAGAAAAAGCUAAAUGAGAGGUACUGCUCCUCCAGAACAUGUAGCAGCACCUAGGAAGGUCCCUGGCUUCUAAAGCCUUGUAGCUGGUUUUUAGUCUUUCUUGUCAUAGGGUGGUUAACAGACUUUAUGCUCUUUACCACCAAAAUCUCAGAAAACUUGUGUGAAAAUUUCAUGUAUCAUGUGUGUUACGUGCACUGAAAAAUAACACACCUGGGGAUUUGGAAUAAGGAAGGAAUGGAAAUGAGACCAAGCAAAUGGAGAGUCUUUUUGAGCAGAUACAUUUGAAAAUUCACAUCUUUCCAUGUGGAAAAAAACUUACCUGCUUUUAGUAAGACAAAAGGAAACCCCAAACCAGGGUGAAACUCUUGCUGUGCUACAUGUUCUGGCUCUAAUAACACAAUUCCUUUGCAGGUGCCUUUCUUGGCUCCCCCUGAUGUCAGCAGGGAAAAGCUGCAGCUCCCCACAGCUUGGGAGGGUCCAUCCAUGCCCGUGUUUGACACUGUCUCACUUCAGCCAGUGGAUUUAGCUUCAAGCACGUCUUUAAAAUCCCAUUGAGGCUUUGUAUUGGCACAAAUGUAAGUGGCAUCUUAGCUUGUGCUAAAUUUGGUGCUGGAGUGCCUGGAUAAAUGUGUGUUUGAGUUGUGGCCUCUGAAAGUGCAUGUUUGUAUAAUUUAAUAUCCUGAUUUGUGCAAGGAGGGAACAUUUACUGGGAUACUGAAGGAGUCAGGUUAAUCUUUGUGCAUCCUGAAAUCCUCCUAUGAAUCCCUGCAAGGCUUUGGGCUCAAAAACCCCCAUGCUCAGAGUGCUGCUAGGUGAAGAAAAUCAUCCAUAAAGUAUUUUUAUUUAUCAGAAGCAAGGAGCUC
ensembl:lncRNA